UCAAGUCUUAGAACACAGGCACACUUUUACAAUUACACAAGGAAACAAGGUUCUCAGUUUCGCAGCCGGGCUCUCCCCUCACCUUGUUCUUCUACCUCAGGGACGGAGUGGCACCAAGACCAAGAGUGCCGCAGCUCUGACCCUGCCUUUCUCCAAGCAGCACCGACAGCCACCGGCUGGCUCUGCCCCGGGGCACCGAUAGGACCCCAGAGCCCGAGGCACAACUGUGCUGCGAACACUCGGCUCCAGCAUCCGGAUCCCACCUAAGGCUGCUCACCACGAGCCCAGAAAUCGUACCAUAAACUAGAGACCGAGCCUGGCACCUGCCGUCCCCUGCUGUCUCCGGCCCCCAACGGGGAUGCCCGGCGGGCCGGACUGCAGGCAGCGCAAGUCGCAGGGCGGGGGCCCAGAGGGACCGGCUGCAGCUCGCUGCGGGUGCCGGGAGCGGUGCUGACACGGGCCGGGCCGCCUCGGGCGCUGGAGCUGGGCGCAAGGGGAGAGGCUGGGGCAGAGCGCCCGGCUGCAGCUUUCGCCUCCUGGCCCGAACCCCAGGGAGACCCGGAGGAGCGCGCAGCGCGCCGCUCCCUUGCGUCCCGGGCAAGGGCAGGAGCUGCCAAGACCCCGCAGCUGGGGACGCCUCCGGGCAAAGGAGCUGGGCUGGGCGGGCCCAGGGGCGGACCCAGGCGGCAUCCCCGAGACCCCCUCGCCGGCCUUUGCAGGGACUGGCGCUGGGCUGCCGCUGGGCGCUGGCGGGCUGCGCGGGGCCGGAGGGGCGUCCCGCACGCUGGAGCCGGGGCCGCCGGGCCGAGCGGCUCCGGGAGCAGCAAAGCGCCCGCUCCUCGGCUGGCGGCCCCGGCGCUCCGCGGGCAACUGCGGCGGGAGAGAGCAGGGGGCCCGGAGAACCAGCGGACAUGACUGUGUUCUGCCAGAUCUGAUUGUGGGCAACGAGGCAUGCAGCGAUCCCAGGAAGGCUGAGGAGAGACCCAUUUUCUGCAGCUCAGAGCAAACUUGGAACUUUUGAAAACAUAUUCCUAAACACUUGUAAAAAUCUUGCUUUGAGUCGCUCCGCAAAACACCGCAACCAUAACUACAGUUCAGUGGGCUGGUGCUGUCUGAGCAAAAUACUCUCUCUUACUGGAUAUUAACUCUGGUUAUUUAUUCAUUCAAAAAGGCAACAUUAAUAGUUUUCUUUCCCCCUUGGGAUCAAUGACCAUUUCCAGCUUUUGUUCUUUAACAAACACAGCCCCUCAAUUCUGAGUUCAUGAAGUAAACAAACCCCUCUAACUGUGACUCAGGGUUAUUGUCAUGCUAUCUAUCCAGCUUCCCUUUUCGAGCUGCUUUGGUCAGAAUUUGCACCCAGUUUUUUCAGUUUUUCUGCCUUUCUUCUAACUCUAGGAUCGGGGUGCACUCACAUUUAGCAUUCACUGCUCCCGCCCGGCUUAUGUGAGUGUGUCUACUUCAGAAGCAGAUGCUAUUAUCAUAUAUCUUGUUACAUCAACAAAUAAUGGAAGAAACCAGAUUCAGCAUCUUACUCAGAGAACCCCUAAAAUGUCUCCAUGUCUCUCGCUCCAGCCUGCUUUCUGUUAAAUACCUAUAGAAUCCACAAGAGGGCACUGUUCCACAACCUCUCUGAUAAUCGAGUCUGACUUCCACUGUAAACACACCAGCGAGCCUCGCACAGGGAUUUCUGCAGCAUAGGGCAUUAUUCUUCCCCACUAGGUUUUAUUUGUGAGUUGGCCUAUAAGAGCAUCCCAGCACCCAGAUCCAUUCAGCGAUAACCAGCCUUGUCAGAUGAUGACGUCCUCCUUCUGUUGGGGGAAUCAUGACUCCACAGCUCAUUAUAAUCAUUCACCAUCUACUCAGUCAUGGACAACGCAGUAACUAAAACAUCCUGUGAAUUCCAGGUCCACAGCAUUGAACUCUGUUAAUCAUUCAGAAAUCGAGACCAAUGUUUGAGGGUUGAACGUGCAUUUGAGAGAAAGAAAGGAUGGUCUGGAGAUGCACACACCAAUAGAACCCUGCACAAAUCACUAAAGAGGGCCUAAUAAGUGUGUCUGGCAGAAGUUAUGUCCACAGAAACAAGUCAAACAGUGUUGUAUUAUGUCGAUAUGUACUCUGGGAAGAGUGCGUUCCCCGUUAUAAGAGUCAUCAUGGUCAGCUAUUAACUGAGGGCAAACUUUUUCUAGGAAAGUUUUGUCCCAAAGAUGGGGCCAGCAUGGCCAUGUAGAAUGUUCCUCUCUCUACCUUUCACUCUCCAGUGCUGAUUCUUGCUGCCUGCUGGAGACUUAGCUCAAAAAGAAGACGUGGAGCAAACAGAAAUUAAAACACUCCACCCUUUAUCCUAUAGUCCGUGUUAAUAUAUGGCAGAAAUAAUGUCUUGAUAAUUGCGUUAGAACUGCUGCUUAUUAAAGUGCGUCACAAAAGAGAGGUGGAAAUAAGCAGCAGGAAACUAGUUUAGAAAAAUGCUUCAACUCCUGGCCAGGCUCCUGCUCACUAGAAGUUGGUUCCCUCCAGCUUGGGCGUUCUGGCCACAGACCUUCCAUUUCGGCAGAAACAGCAACAUUCUCACCUUUUUAUGGCGGACUAAAUAGCAAAGGAAAAUCAGAGAAUGGCCCAGUGCAACCGUUCCAAGGAGCUUUCUCUCCAGAGCACAUCAAAUGAGUCACUGAACGCCACUGAAAUGCCAGUGGCGUGGGAUGAGACCACACUGCUGGGGCUGAAGAUCUUAGUGGCCGUCGUCCUGUCUGUGAUAACUCUGGCAACUAUUCUUUCCAAUUCCUUUGUAAUGAUCACCAUUUUUCUCACUAGAAAGCUUCAUACACCUGCAAAUUAUCUUAUUGGCUCCUUAGCGGUGACUGAUCUCUUAGUAUCUAUCUUAGUCAUGCCAAUCAGUAUUGCUUAUACUGUCAGCCACACAUGGACCUUUGGUCAAGUUAUGUGCGAUAUCUGGUUAUCGUCAGACAUCACCGGCUGCACAGCCUCAAUCCUGCACCUCUGCGUUAUUGCACUGGACAGAUACUGGGCCAUCACAGAUGCUUUGGAAUACACAAAACGUCGGACGGCUCGCAGAGCAGCCCUCAUGAUUGCUGUUGUCUGGGUGAUCUCUAUUUGUAUUUCUAUGCCACCACUUUUUUGGAGACAGGCAAAAGCUCAUGAAGAAAUGGCAGUCUGUACUGUGAACACUGAUCAGAUUUCCUACACAAUCUAUUCAACCUGCGGAGCUUUUUAUAUCCCGACUGUGCUCCUUGUUAUACUGUAUGGGAGAAUUUAUGUAGCCGCUCGAUCCAGGAUUCUUAAGCCACCUUCACUAUAUGGAAAACGAUUUACCACAGCCCACCUGAUUACCGGCUCCACUGGGUCUUCUCUCUGCUCCAUUAACUCUAACCUUCAUGAGGGGAAUGCUCAUUCAGGGGGCUCCCCAGUAUUUAUCAAUCAUGUGAAAAUCAAACUUGCAGAUAGUGUCCUGGAAAGGAAAAGAAUUUCUGCUGCAAGAGAAAGGAAAGCCACAAAAACUCUGGGCAUUAUCCUGGGAGCUUUUAUUUUCUGCUGGCUGCCAUUCUUUGUUGUGACCCUGGUUCUGCCAAUCUGUCAGGAUGCCUGCUGGUUUCAUCCAAUCCUACUGGACUUUUUCACAUGGCUAGGUUACUUAAAUUCGCUUAUCAAUCCAGUCAUAUACACCGCUUUUAAUGAAGAGUUUAAACAGGCCUUCCAGAAACUAAUCCAGUUCAAAAAAUGUUCUUAGUUCUUCUACUUCCUUGUUUUGUCAUUUGUCCUAGUGCAUUCCCACAGCCCACCUAGUGGCUUAUGUACUCUUAGUCCUGUAGUUUGUAAUGAUAGUUACUGUCUCUGUUGCUAGUCUGAUAUUGUGCAUGUAACUGAGAACUCCUUGCCAAUCAUUUUGUAUUUAUUUUCUGUCUGUGAUUAUAAAUCUUUUAGUAGAACUUGUUUCUGGUCUCUGCAGUGAGCAUGUGCACUUACAAAAUCAGCAGAUGGAGGAAGAUUUGUAACAAGGGAGAUGGAAUGAAUAGGAAAGCCAUGUCUCCUGCUAUGGUGUGACAUAGGUUGCUCAGUUCAGCAUCGGCAGUGUGACAUAGUGGGAGCAGAAAGAUGUGUAGCUGCAUGUGUUUCAAGGAUCACAGGAUCUUCUCCUUCCCAGAGACUAGUGAAGAUUAGAAGGUGAAAAAAACGCACUUGUGAUGAAAUGUUCUCUGAGCUCAUGCUGUCCUCCCUCACUGACAUAGCACAGACGAAUGCAUGGAGGCAGACAAUGUCAGAGUGCAGGAAAGCACAAUAUAACCAGGAGGAGAGGUGGUGGGCUGAAGAGAGUAAGUGGCGGGUUGAAGAGAGGGCUAAAGCUGAAAGGUGGUGGCAGCGUGAUGAGAGGAGACAGGAUUCAAUGCUGAGGCUGCUGGAGGAUCAAACCAAUAUGCUCCAGUGUAUGGUUGACCUGCAGGAAAGGCAGCAGGAGCACAGAUCGCUGCUACAGCCCCUGUGUAACCAACCGCCCUCCUCCCCAAGUUCCAUAGCCUCCUCACCCAGAUGCCCAAGAACGCGGUGUGGGGGGCCUCCGGCCACCCAACCCCAGAGGAUUGCCCAAGCAACAGAAGGCUGGCAUUCAAUAAGUUUUAAAGUUUUAAACUUUUAAAGUGCUGUGUGGCCUUGUCC